AAAAAGGGUGAUAGUCCCGUACAUAAAAACAUGUUUUUCUGUGAGUUCAAAGAGUAGGACGGGACACGUGAAAUCCUGUCUGAAUAUGGGGGGCCCAUCCUCCAAGGCUAAAUACUACUGAUUGACCGAUAGUGAACUAGUACCGUGAGGGAAAGGCGAAAAGAACCCCGGUGAGGGGAGUGAAAAAGAACCUGAAACCAUGUACGUACAAGCAGUAGGAGCCUAUGAACUUAUAGGUGACUGCGUACCUUUUGUAUAAUGGGUCAGCGACUUAUAUUUUGUAGCAAGGUUAACCAUAUAGGGGAGCCGUAGGGAAACCGAGUCUUAACUGGGCGCAUAGUUGCAAGGUAUAGACCCGAAACCCGGUGAUCUAGCCAUGGGCAGGUUGAAGGUUGGGUAACACUAACUGAAGGACCGAACCGACUAAUGUUGAAAAAUUAGCGGAUGACCUGUGGCUAGGGGUGAAAGGCCAAUCAAACCGGGAGAUAGCUGGUUCUCCUCGAAAGCUAUUUAGGUAGCGCCUUAUGAAUUCAUCUUCGGGGGUAGAGCUCUGUUUCGGCUAAGGGGCUAUCCCAGCUUACUAAUCCGAUGCAAACUACGAAUACCGAAGAAUGUUAUCAUAGGAGACACACGGCGGGUGCUAACGUCCGUCGUGUAAAGGGAAACAACCCAGACCGUCUGCUAAGGUCCCAAAGUCAUGGUUAAGUGGAAAACGAUGUGGGAAAGCAUAGACAGCCAGGAUGUUGGCUUAGAAGCAGCCAUCAUUAAAAGAAAGCGUAAUAGCUCACUGGUCAAGUUGGCCUGCGCGGAAGAUGUAACGGGGCUAAACCAUGCACCGAAGCUACGGCAGCAAUGUGAAAUAUGCAUUGCUGGGUAGGGGAGCGUUCUGUAAGCCGUUGAAGGUGACUCGUGAGGAUUGCUGAAGGUAUCAGAAGUGCGAAUGCUGACAUAAGUAACGAUAAAGCAGGUGAAAAACCUGCUCGCCAAAAAACCAAGGGUUCCUGUCCAACGUUAAUCGGGGCAGGGUAAGUCGACCCCUAAGGUGAGGCUGAAAAGCGUAGUCGAUGGGCAACAGGUUAAUAUUCCUGUACUAAACGUAAUUGCGAAGGGGGGACGAAGAAAGCUAGACUAUCCGGGGGACGGUUGUCUCGGUUUAAGUGUGUAGAAGGGUAUUUUUGGCAAAUCCGGAAUACUGUUAACUUCAAGGCAUGAUGACGAUGCAUUAAAAUGCAGAAGUAGUUAAUGCUAUACUUCCAAGAAAAGCCUCUAAGCAUCAGAUUACUUUUAAUCGUACCCCAAACCAACACAGGUGGUUAGGUAGAGAAUACCAAGGCGCUUGAGAGAACUCGGGUGAAGGAACUAGGCAAAAUGGUGCCGUAACUUCGGGAGAAGGCACGCUGGUAUGUAGGUAAAAUUCCUUGCGGAUAGAGCUGAAACCAGCCGAAGAGACCAGCUGGCUGCAACUGUUUAAUAAAAACACAGCACUGUGCUAACACGAAAGUGGAUGUAUACGGUGUGACGCCUGCCCGGUGCUGGAAGGUUAAUUGAUGGGGUUAGCUGUAAAAAGCAAAGCUCUUGAUCGAAGCCCCAGUAAACGGCG
rnacentral:rRNA from 1 species